UUUCAUACUGCUGUUGAUGAUGUGAAUUUUGGAAAUAUUCUCCCCUAUUGGGUCUUUCUCCAUGACAGAUGAUGUCCUUUGGCUUCGGUUUUUUGCCUAAGAACUGUAAGUGGUGCUUGCUAGCCCUACUAAGAAUCCUGCCAUUGUUGCAAAUUUCAGAAAAAAGGAGGACUGCCUAGUACUGCCAAUUCUGACAGUGAUCUGUGAUUAUCCAGGGACUACAGAUGGGGUCAGCAGCAUGCCCAGUCACCUGCAUUGCCUAAUGAAUGGCUGACUGCCUCAGCAUCCCCUGGGCAGAGGCUGGAGUGCAGUGGUGCACACGCCUCACACUGUGACACAGCGGGAGAGCCCAGAGCGACAGCUGUUGGAAUGACUGCACUCUUCCUGCUCAAGUCUGACCUUUCCAAGCCUUUGUCCUAUGUCUGGAGACUUCUUGGAAGCUGGAGCACACAAAUAGCUACAGCAAACUUGAGGAAUGGGCAUGAAUAGACUGGCUUCGGGGAACCUGCCAGCUUGGCCGUGUGGCCAAGGUAAUAGGCAAGCCAAGGCAGAGCUAGAGCUCAGAGCUGGAGGGGAAAUUAAAGCAGCAAAUGUAGAAACAUUAAGCCUGAAGAGGCGACGACGUUGAAUUCUAAAAUGCAGGCCAAAGCUCAGACUGCAAGCUGUCUGGCUGCUCCGGGUGUGCCCAGAAGUCAAAGUCCAGCAGGGGCAAAGGUGGAGGUGUGGUCCUGCACGUGGGGUGUUGGGGGGAUGUGGAAGAGGAGGUGCUUUAAGAUCCAGAGAUUCCAGCUGCCCUGGUGCACCCUUGGAAGAAUAAAAGGCUAGGAACUGGACAAGUCAGGCUCGAGUCCAAGCUGCCUGAGGAAUCGGGGAAAGAAUGGAGCUCAGAGUGGGAGGUCAGGGCAGUAUUUAAAAAUCCAGGAUAGCAGCAAAGCUGGCGGUGGCCCCUGACUCUGGUAAGGGCAGCCUGCAGCACCAUGCCAAGGGGGGCCUGACUGAUCAUGCCCUGCAUUUGCAAACAAGGAUUAGUAGGGUAUGAGUAGGAUUCUGCUGGUGCCUGGGAAGGCAGUGCCAUCUACAACUUUACAAAGUUUUAACAAAGGCCUGAAGGACACAACCUUCCCCAAAGUCCUGACGUCGCUGUUUGCUGGCAACAAAUAGAGUCAAAAGAAGAGAGGCACAGAAUGUGCCAGGGGUGUGCUGCGUACAGCCCCGAUGACCACAAGGCCUUCUUGGGUCAAGUUCUGCCAUCUCUGGUUAAGAUGGGCUCACCCUCUAGGACCCUGAUUGAGUCCUCGGACCACCAAGAGUGCCCCACCAAGAGCCUCCCUCUUCUGGUGACUCGUGCCUGCUUCCCGUGGAGAGCUCCAGAAGGGAGGAAACUGUGAGGAGGUGGAGAACGUGGCAGGGAUCCUAACUUUCUUACUGAAGGAAGUUCUUCACAAGUACCCAUCUGCCUUCAGGGAAGAAAACAUAACUCAUUUUGGUCUUUCAAAUUCAGUUCUCAAAACCAAAUCCUGUUGUCAGCAAUCUGUGUCCCAACGCCUUCUUCAGCAACAGCAUUUUCCCUGUGGAAUUAGUUUCCAAUGUUCUUUCUUAAAUAAACCACUGAAGAUUAAAAGGAAUCCAGAUACCCACCACAUUUUGUUUCCUUAAUGAGUAAUUAUCACAUUUCUUUGGCUACUUAAAUGCAUUCUCUGAGUCAGGUAAAGGAGAUCGUAAUAGUUAAUCAACAAGAAGUAAUUCUUGGGUACUUAACAAUAGUCUAAGCACUUAAUCAUACUUAAAAUUGACUAUUAAUGAACCUUAUAAACCAUUUUGCAAUUCUGAAAGUGAAUUUCUCUGCAGGCUUAGAGAUUACUAAGCCAUUUAGAUCUUACCAAACAAAUAUUAUUCAUGCUUUAAUUCCUGGGAAAAGAAAUUUAGAAAAUGAGGUUAAUGUUCAGUUGUCCUUUCCUGAGUUUAACAAUUAUAUAUUCCAUCUGGGAUGCUCUGAACUCAGGUUAAACAUUCUUCAAGUUAUUCCCACAUUUUUCAAGUUAUUCCCACGUUAGUGACCUACUUUAUUAGUAUUAUUACUAAAGAAAAGGGCUGGGUGCGGUGGCCCACAUCUGUAAUCCCAGCACUUUGGGAGGCUGAAGCAGGAGGAUCACUUGAGCUUGGGAGUUCAAGACCAGCCUGAGAGGGAGACUCCGUCUCUACAAAAAAAAAAAAAUUAGCCAGGUAUGGUGGCACGCGCUCAUGGGCCCAGCUACUCAAGGAGGCUGAGGUGGGAGGAUCACGUGAACCUGGGAGGCAGAGCCUGCAGUGAGCCCUGGUUGUGCCUCUGUACUCAAGCCUGAGAGACAGAGUGAGACCCUGUCUCCAAACAAUAAAGUAAAAUAAAUAAAUAAAUAAAUAAGAAUGCAAAUCAAAGACAUUAAGAAAUAGCUUUACUUUAAUGUAGGCAUUUAAGGUAAAAUAGGUCACAUUCUCUUUUUUAAAAAAAUUACUGACCCACAGAAAAACAAGUCAAAAAGCAGACUAUUUCAUAUUAGUGUCUUUUUUUUAAAGAGGAUUAAUAUAAAUUGCCUUCUCACCUGUUUUUAAAAUAAAGGACUGAAUGAUAGAACUUAGACAACAAAUCUAGUAGCAUGAUAAAAGCCUUUCUUUGAUAGCUAGAAAAGGUAAACAAAGAAUAAAACAGGGUGAAGAAGAAAGAGGACAGAUAGAAUGUGAAUAUUAUCUACCUUUUUCUCAAGAUAAAACUAAUAUUGCUUUCUAAAAAGAAGCAAUUCUUUAGAGCAGAGGUCAGCAAACUUUUUCUAUAAAGAGCCAGAUAUUAACUAUUUUAUAAUUUGCAAACCACAUAAGUCCUCUGUUUCAUAUGGGUUUUUUUCUUUUUUCUUUUUAAACAAUACUUUAAAAAUGCUGAAAAUAUUCUUAGCUUACAUCUACAAAAAAGCAGGCAGUGGGCUGAUUUGACUCACAGGUGGUAUAGCUUGCUAAUUCCUGCUUUAGAUUUUAAGAAUGAGGCAGAUGUUGCCAGAAUUUGCUCUAAUUUACUAUGAGGUUUGCAAAUAAAAGUGCUCUUGACAUGAAAACUUGCUAUUUUUAAUGGAAAGACAUGUACAGCCCUUUCUCAGGAAGUGGAGAUUAAUGCAUAAAAUUUUAUUUUCCUAACAUAAAGCAUGUUUUUUCAAAAAAUGGCUUCUCCAUCUUGUGGCCCUUUGAUUAUGAUAGCUCUGAAAGCUUUGAAAAGCUUGCAAAUACUCAACUUCAGGAAUAAAACCACCUAUGAGACCCUCACCUGAAGGCAGGAUCUUUCCUGCAGCCUUGAGUCUUCCUAAUCAGAACCAUUGUUUCGUAAACUGGACUCCGAAGACAACACUUAAAGUCACUCAAGUUCGCUACAAAAUUCUUGUUUUGUGUUUUCAUUUCUAAAGACAAUAAAAAUAAUUGAUAUGAUCAAGUUUGGGAUUAUCUAGAUGAUCUAGACAACUAUUGCGGUCAAAAUAGGCCUGAUCACAGGCAUUUUCAGUACCCAUGGAAUUCUAGAGCUUUGGAUACUUGUCUAGUCUGUUUGGGUCACUAUAACAAAAUGCCAUAAACUGGGUGCUUAUAAAGAACAGAAUUUUAUUUCCCACAGUUCUGCAGGCUGGGAAGUCCAAAAUCGAGGCAGAUUUGAUGUCCUCAAGUGAUGGAAGAAUCAAGAGGUCUCUCUGGGGGCUCUUUUAUAAGGGCACUAACCCCAUUCAUGAGAGCAGAGCCUAAUUACCUCCCUAAGGCCCCAACUCCUAAUACUAUCACCUUGAGGGUGAGGAGGGAAACAUAAAAAUACCAUAGUAAUACUAAUAGGUACAUCAGUGAAGAACAAUAUCACAGUAUCGUGUAGACAGGAAGAUUUUGCUGCAAUUUGGUUGUUAAAACAAAAAGUCGUGGGUGGAUACAAUCAUCAGACAGUUCAGAAGUGGCAUCCACGUACUCACCCAAAGGAGGUGCACUGCAGUUGUGGGAGCCCUGUGCUUGCUACUAGCAGUGACUUAAUUUCUGCAAAGCUAUGUGAUCACAUUCAACUAUGCUAGUUAACUUUAAUUUUACUGAAUUUGGUUUAGGUAGGUAGUUUGUAAAUUUAACUUUCUACUUGUAUAAGAAGUAUAAUUAUAAAAACAGCAGGUCAGCACGACAGGUCUGAGAGAAUCUGUAUUCUGUAAAAAAAUACCUAUUUCUUACUUGGCGAAAAACAUUAGUCAAUGUUGCACCAAAAACCCCCCAAAAGCUAUAGAUCAGAUAUUGACUAAAAUGAAUAUACAAAAAUCUUGACUGGAAAUAUUUUAAGUCAAAACUAACAGCCUAUUUCAGGUAUUGACAGAACAAAUUCCAGAAGCAGAAUAACUGAAACAAUCAUGUUGAAAUUAAUUAUAAUGGGCAGAAUUUGACUGAAACUUGUUACCACCUUCACCAAAAUAUAGCCUUUCUUAUACUAUCAAAUGUAUUGAAUAAAUUGUGAGCACUUUCUUGUACAACUUCUAAAAAUUUAGCUUUGCUUUUGUUAUCUGAAUAUUGUACAGGAAUAUGAGCAUGCAAAUAAGAUCUUUGUUUAGUUUCAAGUCUUUUUAUAACUAAAUCUGCUGGCAUUAGAC
rnacentral:lncRNA from 1 species